UACGUAGGGUGCGAGCGUUAAUCGGAAUUACUGGGCGUAAAGCGUGCGCAGGCGGUUCUAUAAGACAGAUGUGAAAUCCCCGGGCUCAACCUGGGAACUGCAUUUGUGACUGUAGAGCUGGAGUACGGUAGAGGGGGAUGGAAUUCCGCGUGUAGCAGUGAAAUGCGUAGAUAUGCGGAGGAACACCGAUGGCGAAGGCAAUCCCCUGGACCUGUACUGACGCUGAGGAGCGAAAGCGUGGGGAGCAAACAGG
rnacentral:rRNA from 1 species